UACGGAGGGUGCAAGCGUUAUCCGGAUUCACUGGGUUUAAAGGGUGCGUAGGUGGGCAGGUAAGUCAGUGGUGAAAUCUCCGGGCUUAACCCGGAAACUGCCGUUGAUACUAUCUGUCUUGAAUAUAGUGGAGGUGAGCGGAAUAUGUCAUGUAGCGGUGAAAUGCUUAGAUAUGACAUAGAACACCCAUUGCGAAGGCAGCUCGCUACACUAUCAUUGACACUGAGGCACGAAAGCGUGGGGAGCAAACAGG
rnacentral:rRNA from 1 species